UGCAUAUCCCAAAAAGCGGAGGAAAAGAAACUAACUAGGAUUCCCUUAGUAACGGCGAGUGAACCGGGAUGAGCUCAAAUUUAAAAUCUGGCGUCUUUCAGGCGUCCGAGUUGUAAUCUAUAGAGGCGUUUUCCGCGCCGGACCGCGUCCAAGUCCCUUGGAAUAGGGUAUCAAAGAGGGUGACAAUCCCGUACUUGACGCGACAACCGGUGCUCUGUGAUACGUUCUCAACGAGUCGAGUUGUUUGGGAAUGCAGCUCUAAAUGGGUGGUAAAUUCCAUCUAAGGCUAAAUAUUGGCGAGAGACCGAUAGCGAACAAGUACCGUGAGGGAAAGAUGAAAAGCACUUUGGAAAGAGAGUUAAACAGCACGUGAAAUUGUUAAAAGGGAAACGAUUGAAGUCAGUCGUGUGGGAGGUAUUCAGCCGUCUCUGGCGGUGUAUUUGCCUCUCACGGGUCAACAUCAGUUUGAUCCGGUGGAAAAAGGCGGGAGGAAGGUGGCACCCUCGGGUGUGUUAUAGCCUCCUGUCAAAUGCAUCGGACCAGACUGAGGAACGCAGCUCGCAGCAAUGCCGGGGUUCGCCCACGUACGAGCUUAGGAUGUGACAUAAGUGUAGGU
rnacentral:rRNA from 1 species